rnacentral:rRNA from 1 species
CUGGAGCUUGCUCUAGGGGAUUAGUGGCGAACGGGUGAGUAACACGUGAGUAACCUGCCCUUGACUCUGGGAUAACCUCCGGAAACGGAAGCUAAUACCGGAUAUGACGCACGGAGGCAUCUCCUGUGCGUGGAAAGAAUUUCGGUCAAGGAUGGACUCGCGGCCUAUCAGGUAGUUGGUGAGGUAACGGCCCACCAAGCCUACGACGGGUAGCCGGCCUGAGAGGGUGACCGGCCACACUGGGACUGAGACACGGCCCAGACUCCUACGGGAGGCAGCAGUGGGGAAUAUUGCACAAUGGGCGCAAGCCUGAUGCAGCAACGCCGCGUGAGGGACGACGGCCUUCGGGUUGUAAACCUCUUUUAGUAGGGAAGAAGCGAAAGUGACGGUACCUGCAGAAAAAGCACCGGCUAACUACGUGCCAGCAGCCGCGGUAAUACGUAGGGUGCAAGCGUUGUCCGGAAUUAUUGGGCGUAAAGAGCUCGUAGGCGGUUUGUCGCGUCUGCUGUGAAAACUGGAGGCUCAACCUCCAGCCUGCAGUGGGUACGGGCAGACUAGAGUGCGGUAGGGGAGAUUGGAAUUCCUGGUGUAGCGGUGGAAUGCGCAGAUAUCAGGAGGAACACCGAUGGCGAAGGCAGAUCUCUGGGACGUAACUGACGCUGACGAGUGAAAGCGUGCGGAGCGAUCAG